UUUGCCCAUAUUUCUACGGGAAGCAGCAGUGAGGAAUUUUUCACAAUGGACGAAAGUCUGAUGGAGCAAUACCAUGUGAACGAUGAAGGUCUUCUGAUUGUAAAGUUCUUUUAUUUAGGAAAAAAAGCUUGAGAGGAAAUGAUUAAGCCUUGAUUGUACUAAAUGAAUAAGUGACAGCUAACUAUGUGCCAGCAGCUGCGGUAAAACAUAGGUCACGAGCAUUAUCCGGAUUUAUUGGGCGUAAAGGAAGCGUAGGCGGACAAAUUGAUCUAUUGUUAAAGGCACUUGCUCAACGAGUUGUUUGUGAUAGAUAUCGUUUGUCUAGAAUUAGUUAGGAGAUACUGGAAUUCAAUGUGUAGCGGUGGAAUGCGUAGAUAUAUUGAGGAACACCAGAGGCUAAGGCGAGUAUCUAGGACAUAAUUGACGCUGAGGCUUGAAAGCGUGGGGAGCAAAUGGGAUUAGAUACCCCAGUAGUCCACGCCGUAAACGAUGGGUAUUAGGUAUUUGGUUUAGGACUGAGUGCUGUAGCUAACGCGUUAAAUACCCCGCCUGGGUAGUAUAUAUGCAAAUAGAAUAA
rnacentral:rRNA from 1 species